GACGGUGGAUGCAAGUGUUAUCCGGAAUCACUGGGCGUAAAGCGUCUGUAGGUGGUUUAAUAAGUCAACUGUUAAAUCUUGAGGCUCAACCUCAAAAUCGCAGUCGAAACUAUUAGGCUAGAGUAUAGUAGGGGUAAAGGGAAUUUCCAGUGGAGCGGUGAAAUGCGUAGAGAUUGGAAAGAACACCGAUGGCGAAGGCACUUUACUGGGCUAUUACUAACACUCAGAGACGAAAGCUAGGGUAGCAAAUGGG
rnacentral:rRNA from 1 species